UCCUUCUCCUGGUGUCCAUUUCUGGAACUGCUAUUUGUAUAUUGCAUGAUAUUUUAUCAGGAAAAAAUAUAAAACAGAUCUAAUUUCAUGAAAAUGCUGUUGCCAUAAUGCUCAGGAGAACAGGGGGAAGAGAGAGAUUCAAGUCUUCCUAAUGUCUACCUUAUAUGCAGAGCCUUGGAAAGAUGGGCAAAUGCUCUGUGACAAGCCACCAGGGUAGACUGGUACUGAAAAGACCCUACUACACACAGGGGCUCUGUCCCUGGCUGGAAAGUUACAAGUCAGCCUACCUCUCUGUGAUCUGGUUUCCACACCUACUACUCUUUAUCCCAUGAGGAGCUUCUGGAAACUAAAAUAGCAGCUGCCCAGGUAGAAGAGUGUUGACCAAAGGACACAUCACCAGCACAGACUGUUAAUCAUGUGACUAGAGAAAACUCUCAUGGUGGCAUUCAAAUUUCCAUAUCCUUCUUCUAUGGAAAUUUCUGAGAGACCCAGAAAAGAAGCGUAACGACGAGGGAAAGUGAUUCCUGCAGACCUGAACAUUCCAGACUUACCAGGUGAUCCAGCUGUCUGUCAGCGGGAAGAGGCUGAGGCGCCCCCUUCUGGUGCAUCUGAAUAGUAAGAAACCCUGUGUAGAAAGAAACCCUGUAGCAAUUGGGCACCUUCUCCGUGAUCUGUCUGCUUCCAAUACCAAAAAUUGUUGCUUUUUAAAUGACAUCCAUCCUAAGCUUAAAAAAGACGCAUAUUAUUUGUAUAAAAUGUUGAAGACGCAGAACAAAAAAUGUAAAUCACAUGUAAUCAUCCCUUCCAGAAAUAAUCGUUAUUAAAAUUUCUGUGUAUGUGUAAAAAAAAAAAUUGCAAUCCUACUGUAAUAUAAUCCUGUAUACUGAUAUUUUUCACCUAUCACUGUAUGUUGAGCAUUUUCAAUAGUCAAAUUAUUUCUUGAAAAUAUUAAUGACUGGGGAGUAACCUUUCAAAUAGGUGUGUCUUUAUUUUUAAACCAGUCCACAAUUAUUGUAUAUUGAAGUCAUUUCCCAAAUUUUGUAAGUAUAAGUAUUGCAUCCAUCCUUAUAUGUAUUUAAAUGCAUCUCUUAUUAUUUCCUUGAGAUAAGUUCCUAGAAGUGGAAUCACUGGAUUUAAAAAUGUGGACAUAUUUAUGCCAGACGCGGUGGGUCAUGCCUGUAAUCCCAGCACUUUGGGAGACUGAAGCAGGUGGAUCACUUGAGGUCAGGAGUUCAAGACCAGCCUGGCCAACAUAGUGAAACCCCAUCUCUACUAAAAUUACAAAAAUUAGCCGGGUGUGGUAGUGCACGCCUGUAAUCCCAGCUACUCAGGAGGCUGAGGCAUAAGAAUCACUUGAACUCAGGAGGCGGAGGUUGCAGUGAGCCAAGAUGGCACCACUGCGCUCCAGUCUGGGCGACAGAGUAAGACUUCAUCUCAAAAAUAAAUAAAUAAAAUUAAAAUUAAAUAAGAUAAAUAAAAAAUAAAAAUGUGGACAUAUUUAAAUCUUCAUAUAUAUUACCAAAUGCCCUCCUGAAAGUUUUUACCUGUUACAUUCCAACCAAUAGUGUAAGGGCAUGACUCUUUCCCUGUGUUUUGGGAUGGAUGUUAUCAAAGUUCUCUCCCACCCAGGCCAAGUAUGGUAUAUGCUUUGAUUUAAUUUGAAUUUUUAAAUUAUUAUUUAAAAUGGACAUUUUGUUGUCCAUUUGAACAACUUUCUUUUGAGUCACUGUUCAUGUUCUUUGCCCAUUGUUUCUCUUUUAUUAGUAAGAACCCUAUUGUCAUUUUUAUAUUUUAAAUAAAAUUUCAUUGUAUAUACAUUUAUAUUAUCUAUAGUAAAGUAUAUUUUAUUAUUAAUGAGAACUUUUUAUAUUAAAGAUCCUAACCUAC
rnacentral:lncRNA from 1 species